rnacentral:rRNA from 1 species
UACGUAGGGUGCGAGCGUUGUCCGGAAUUAUUGGGCGUAAAGAGCUCGUAGGCGGUCUGUCGCGUCGAUCGUGAAAACUUGGGGCUUAACCCUGAGCUUGCGGUCGAUACGGGCAUGACUGGAGUUCGGCAGGGGAGACUGGAAUUCCUGGUGUAGCGGUGAAAUGCGCAGAUAUCAGGAGGAACACCGGUGGCGAAGGCGGAUCUCUGGGCCUUACCUGACGCUGAGGAGCGAAAGUGUGGGGAGCGAACAGG